UACGUAGGGGGCUAGCGUUGUCCGGAAUCAUUGGGCGUAAAGAGCGUGUAGGCGGUCCGGUAAGUCCGUUGUGAAAACUCGAGGCUCAACCUCGAGACGCCGGUGGAAACCGUAAAGCUAGAGUCCGGAAGAGGAGAGUGGAAUUCCUGGUGUAGCGGUGAAAUGCGCAGAUAUCAGGAGGAACACCCGUGGCGAAAGCGGCUCUCUGGGACGGUACUGACGCUGAGACGCGAAAGCGUGGGGAGCAAACAGG
rnacentral:rRNA from 1 species